CCUCCUCCCACCCCUCCGCAUCCGAUUGAAACUCACAGCCGUGAAAGUAGCGCACAAGGUACCGUUCUGAACCCCUUUUUCCAACAAAAUUUAGGUAGCAAAGGGGGUUUUAAAAAUACUUCUGGCUGUAUUUUUCGCUGCGCUGUUCGGUGUCCAGCGAAGCCCUUCGCUAAGUAUUAUUUUUGUAAUCGCUUUUUAUUAUAUGGAGCAGAAAGCGGAGGGGGCAUUUGGAAUAGAGGUGGUCCCAUCUGGAAAAGCCCGCAGCUCAUUUAGAUCGCAUCACUUCGGGCUUUUGUCUCCGCUCCUGAAUAACGCAGCUAGGCACAACAAAAGGGCAGAGAGCUGCGCGGAGUUUUUCCAGCGGGGAGAGGACGCCUCGGGAAGACGCAUAUAACGAUGAUAACGGGGAAAAACGCGAGCUCCUCCCGGCGCUUUUAAUGCACGGGCAGAGUUUGGGGAUGGGGCGUUUUGGGGCCGUUUGCCACCCCUCCGGCUGCUGAAAAUCGGCGCGAGAUGAAGGACGGAGGAAUAAAGAGCAUCUUUUGUCUCUGCUAACUUCCCAGUACACUCCGAGCGGUCAGAACGGAGGUGAAGAUGCACGAAUUGAAGUGCUCUGAGCUUCUUCCGGCAGGACCGGGUUUGUGUUGAGUGUUUCAAAGAGCAACAAACUUCGAAUCAGGGAAUAUCCCAAGUUGGAAGGGACUCAUAGGGAACAUCGGAUCCAACUUCCAUCGCCGGGUUUGGGACCGACGAAUCGGAACUUCCCAGAAAACGUGAUGCGAUGGGGCGAAAACUCAUCACGCUAAGAAACGAAUUGCCACCGCGCUCACCACUAACAAAGUCUGAAGCACUUUCCCAACCCCUUUCCCAACGCACAGUAAUAAUGAUACAUUUAUCAUUACUGAUGACCACCCACUGCUUUAUUAUUGCUUUGUUGCGACGAUUACAAUCAAGAGAUUUCUUUAUUUACUGUUAACAUUCACUUAAAGCUGAAUGUUAAUGACUCUUCUGAAUUCACCAAAGAGUUGUCGGGUAUAUUUUAGGAGUAGUUACGGUUCGGAUUUCAGAAAUGGUGUAAAAAAGAUGCGGAAAGGCUGAGUGGUGCUUUGCUUUUUUAAUUAUUAUUGUUAUUUCUAACUCUUUGCUCUUCUUUCUGAGUCGGAUUUCCAACAAAGAGUUGCAAAAGGCUUUGGCAUAAUGCACGCACUUGCCUGUAGCUAAUUACGCGAGUAUUUUAUUACAGGAGAUUCA
ensembl:lncRNA